AUUAAAGUGCAUGUUUUGUUUUAUUCUCCUAGUAAUGAAGGUAAAUCCUGGAGUCUAUCUACCUACUAAUCUGUUUCACAGUCCAGGAGGUAGUAUCCUAGUCAGAUGGCAUCCUACACCCUAGAGAACACCACAUACAAAUUAAAAACCCAUUUUCCUCUUGAACAAUGCAUCUGGUACUGUAAUAUACCAAUCAUUUAUUAGUUCAACAAGC